AAUCCAUAGGUUAAUGAGGCGAACCGGGGGAACUGAAACAUCUAAGUACCCCGAGGAAAAGAAAUCAACCGAGAUUCCCCCAGUAGCGGCGAGCGAACGGGGAGGAGCCCAGAGCCUGAAUCAGCAUGUGUGUUAGUGGAAGCGUCUGGAAAGGCGCGCGAUACAGGGUGACAGCCCCGUACACAAAAGCGCAUGUGCUGUGAGCUCGAUGAGUAGGGCGGGACACGUGGUAUCCUGUCUGAAUAUGGGGGGACCAUCCUCCAAGGCUAAAUACUCCUGACUGACCGAUAGUGAACCAGUACCGUGAGGGAAAGGCGAAAAGAACCCCGGCGAGGGGAGUGAAAAAGAACCUGAAACCGUGUACGUACAAGCAGUGGGAGCACAGGUUUACCUGUGUGACUGCGUACCUUUUGUAUAAUGGGUCAGCGACUUAUAUUCUGUAGCAAGGUUAACCGUAUAGGGGAGCCGUAGGGAAACCGAGUCUUAAUUGGGCGUUAAGUUGCAGGGUAUAGACCCGAAACCCGGUGAUCUAGCCAUGGGCAGGUUGAAGGUUGGGUAACACUAACUGGAGGACCGAACCGACUAAUGUUGAAAAAUUAGCGGAUGACCUGUGGCUGGGGGUGAAAGGCCAAUCAAACCGGGAGAUAGCUGGUUCUCCCCGAAAGCUAUUUAGGUAGCGCCUCGUGAAUUCAUCUCCGGGGGUAGAGCACUGUUUCGGCUAGGGGGCCAUCCCGGCUUACCAACCCGAUGCAAACUGCGAAUACCGGAGAAUGUUAUCACGGGAGACACACGGCGGGUGCUAACGUCCGUCGUGAAGAGGGAAACAACCCAGACCGCCAGCUAAGGUCCCAAAGUCAUGGUUAAGUGGGAAACGAUGUGGGAAGGCCCAGACAGCCAGGAUGUUGGCUUAGAAGCAGCCAUCAUUUAAAGAAAGCGUAAUAGCUCACUGGUCGAGUCGGCCUGCGCGGAAGAUGUAACGGGGCUAAACCAUGCACCGAAGCUGCGGCAGCGACGCUUAUGCGUUGUUGGGUAGGGGAGCGUUCUGUA
rnacentral:rRNA from 1 species